CUACAUUUUACACAAAUGUGUAUGAGAAGCUCCAAUUCCAAAUAAAAUUUCACAUGUGAAAUUAUAUGUGAAUUUCUCGAAAGGUUUGAGUUAUUCAUUGUUCAUUUUUUGACAUUUUUAUCACUUUUAGUUUUACAGAUAUUGCACAUAAAUUGAAGAAUUUGUAUCUGCUGACUCUGACUGUGUGGAAUUUUGAAGAUUUGUGACGAUCUUUCUGUUUCAGUUGUUUUUGCUCAGUAAGUGGUCAUUGACUGGAAGGACUUUUCAUAAUAUUCUGAGUACUUGUAAGGUGCAUUGGCAAAACAGUUAGUAAAAUAUAGGAAAAGGGGAGAUGUAGAGUCCUGAAAUUUCACGACUUUCUGCCAAGAAAUAUCGAUAAAACAUAUUCCGAAAAUGUGCAGUACCUUCAAAAUCCAAGACACGGAUCAAAUCAAGACACUUUGUAUACUGAUGAUUAUAUUUCGACUUUAUUUCAAAGCUUUCUUCAAAGCAGAAGAAGAAUCUUCUUGUCUGAAGAAAGCCUUGAAACAAAGUCGAAAUAUAAUCAUUAUUGGUAUUAUUAACAGCAUGAGCGGCAGUGUUUUAUCGUAUACAAACCUGAGCCAAAGCCAAUUCAAGGCGAAUGUUGUAAAUGGCUUGUGAAACGUCUUGAUGAGAACAUUCGUAUUCUUCAACAAUUUAGAAUAAAUGAAUGAUAUUUGGUGAGAAAAUUGAACUUAAAGUGUA